rnacentral:rRNA from 1 species
AGCUCCAAUAAGGAAAACUAAAGUUGCUGUGUUUAAAAAGCUCGUAGUUGAAUUUCGGGUAUUUGUUGCUAGCUGGUCUAUCUGGCCAUGUUGGUUAACAGAUCCUCAUUUGCUGGACGGCUGGCGAUGAUCUUUAUCGAUUGUCGUCAGUUGCCAGCACGUUUACUUUGAGAAAAUUAGAGUGCUAAAAGCAGGCUCACGCCUAUAUAUAUUGCAUGGAAUAAUGAAAUAAGAUCUCGAUUUUAUUUCGUUGGUUUUAGAAAUUGAGAUAAUGAUUAAUAGGAUCAGAGGGGGGCGUACGUACUGUGGUGUGAGAGGUGAAAUUCUUGGAUCGCCACAGGACGAACAGCAGCGAAGGCGUUCGCCAAGAAUGUUUUCA